UACAGAGGGUGCAAGCGUUGCUCGGAAUCAUUGGGCGUAAAGGGCAAGUAGGUGGUCUCAUUUGUCUAGGGUGAAAUCCUUGAGCUUAACUCAAGAAGUGCCCUAGAAACGGUGAGACUCGAGUACUGGAGAGGGUCGUGGAAUUCCCGGUGUAGCGGUGAAAUGCGUAGAGAUCGGGAGGAACACCAGAGGCGAAGGCGGCGACCUGGACAGUUACUGACACUCAACUGCGAAAGCGUGGGAGCAAACAGGG
rnacentral:rRNA from 1 species